rfam:Gaeumannomyces graminis var. tritici R3-111a-1 unplaced genomic scaffold supercont2.2, whole genome shotgun sequence.
GGCCUCGUGGUGCAGUGGCUUUGCACCAGGCCGGCCCCGCCAGGACCACGGGUUCGAAUCCCGUCGAAACCA